CAUGCAAGUCGAGCGGAUGACGGGGGCUUGCUCCUUGAUUCAGCGGCGGACGGGUGAGUAAUGCCUAGGAAUCUGCCUGGUAGUGGGGGACAACGUUUCGAAAGGAACGCUAAUACCGCAUACGUCCUACGGGAGAAAGCAGGGGACCUUCGGGCCUUGCGCUAUCAGAUGAGCCUAGGUCGGAUUAGCUAGUUGGUGGGGUAAUGGCUCACCAAGGCGACGAUCCGUAACUGGUCUGAGAGGAUGAUCAGUCACACUGGAACUGAGACAAGGUCCAGACUCCUACGGGAGGCAGCAGUGGGGAAUAUUGGACAAUGGGCGAAAGCCUGAUCC
rnacentral:rRNA from 1 species